CCUACGGGAGGCAGCAGUGAGGAAUAUUGGACAAUGGUCGAAAGACUGAUCCAGCCAUGCCGCGUGCAGGAAGACGGCCCUAUGGGUUGUAAACUGCUUUUGUUUGGGAAGAAACCUUUCUACGUGUAGAAAGCUGACGGUACCAUACGAAUAAGCACCGGCUAACUCCGUGCCAGCAGCCGCGGUAAUACGGAGGGUGCAAGCGUUAUCCGGAUUUAUUGGGUUUAAAGGGUCCGUAGGCGGACUUAUAAGUCAGUGGUGAAAUCCUGCAGCUCAACUGUAGAACUGCCAUUGAUACUGUAAGUCUUGAAUUCGGUUGAAGUGGGCGGAAUAUGGCAUGUAGCGGUGAAAUGCUUAGAUAUGCCAUAGAACACCGAUUGCGUAGGCAGCUCACUAAGCCUGGAUUGACGCUGAGGGACGAAAGCGUGGGUAGCGAACAGGAUUAGAUACCCUGGUAGUCCACGCCGUAAACGAUGAUUACUCGACAUUAGUCGAUACACGUAGUGUCAUAAGACGAAGACAUUAAGUAACUACCACCGUACGGGUAGGUACGUUACGUACGAAGAAGUAGUAAACGUUAAACGUUAAGUAGUAGUACGUCGUAGAGACGUACGACGACGGACGACGACGGAGGGAGGAG
rnacentral:rRNA from 1 species